UACAUACCACUGCACCGAUGCGCUUGCCAUCGUGGCAACAUCGAGUUUCCUUUGUUUAUCUUUAUAGGCCAUCUGCGUGUCCGACAAAGGGAGCCAAACGCGUGCACGUUACUGAGAGCGAGCGUGGCUGCUGCGGUAGACGGUUUGCCUGUUAUCGUCCGCUCAUGCACCUCGCUGGAACGUCAUGCGUGCGGCAGCGCGGCGCAUACUUUUCCACACCGGAGCUGAGCUCAUCGUCUCAUAACGAGCGUAGCAGCAGCGCGUGGCCUACGGGGUCGCCGCCACAGCGGCACACGCACGCGAGUACGCCUGCGGCGACGUACACGCACGCGCCCAGCCGCGAUGUUGCAUUCGGGGGCCGUGCACAUGUUGCCACUCACCGAAGCCGCGACACUCUUACUGCCGAACUUCAGCGCAUUCGCGCGGAGGCGAACACAAUUGUAGUGGAGCGCUGGUUCUGGCGGUGGGGCCUCUACGCGGUUCGCCGCGCUGCCUUGAGGCGCAUCCAGCACCGCGCUCGGCUAGUUUUGUGGAGUCGUGUGGGUGCCAGGUGCUUUGCGUGGUGGCGAUUAGUUGCGCAGCGGCGCCUGUGCCGCGAGGUGCUUUACCGAGAAGCCGCCGCGCGCGAACGCGCGACGUUGAUUGAAGGCCUCUGUCGCGUUGCAUGGGACAAGUGGCGUCAGUGGGCGCGAGUGCGUGCACGGCAGUGCGCGAGAGCUGCGCAUCUGGGGCUGGUGAACCGACAGCGGCACGCACUUCUCCGAUUUCGCGCAUGGACGUGUCAUCCCCGUCGGUGCCGUCAGCUGCGGUCUGUGGAGCAGAUUCGAUUCUCCGCCGAGCGAUCGCUGGCCCGCUUUACUCUGAUCCGUUGGCGUUUGCAUGCCCUAGAGAGCUACCUUGCCUUUCCACUGCAGGUGCGGGCGGCGCAGCAAGUGGCGACGGCGGCGUUUCGCGCGUGGCAGCGGCGUGCGCUCAUCGGGGCCAGCAUGCGGCUCAUCCGCCACGAGGCGCUUUUGCACGUGGCGGAGCGGUGCUUUGACCGGUGGAGGCGAUGGCUCCGGCGGCGGUUACAGGCCGCACUGCUACGCGAAGCGAACGAGGCUCGCCUUUUGCUGCGCAUCUUCUCGCAGUGGGCGUGGCACCAUGAGCUCCACGCGUUAGACUACGAGCAGUACGUCGCAGAACGUCAUCUGCCACGCCUCUUCUCUUGAUCGUCUUGAGCUGUUGUUGGCACUUGUAAUGAGAGGGAGCAGGAGCCGAUUCCUGGAGGGCCGCUCGGUGACUAGGGGCCGUGACGGCGUGCCGAUAAGACGUGCACACCCACAGAAGCUCAAACGCGAAGGUGCGCACUGAUAACUCCCUUCAGCGCUACAUGGCGAAAAAAAAAACGAAAGGGAAAAGACGAAAACCGACAGAAGACGCUUAACAACGAAACGCGGUGUGACCAACAUGUGAUGAGGCGCGGGUGAGGAGGGGUGCCUCCCUUUUUCGCCCGAUCUGAGGGAAGGAGAGGGAGCGCUGCACGAUACUCCACUCGCCCAGGCGCCCACCUCGUCUUCCCCUCCCCCCUCCUUGCCCCCAUCAUUUCCAUUGCUUUCCCCUCUCAUAAUAAUACGGUGAAAAAAAAACGUCUCCACACCUAUGCGUGCGCAUGCCCACACACGUGACCUCACAUCGAGCAAAAG
rnacentral:misc_RNA from 1 species